rnacentral:rRNA from 1 species
CGCGAAGAACCUUACCUGGCCUUGACAUCCAGAGAACUUUCCAGAGAUGGAUUGGUGCUUCGGGAACUCUGAGACAGGUGNUGCAUGGCCGUCGUCAGCUCGUGUCGUGAGAUGUUGGGUUAAGUCCCGUAACGAGCGCAACCCCUAUCCCUGGUUGCUAGCAGGUAAUGCUGGGAAUUCCAGGGAGACUGCCGGUGACAAACCGGAGGAAGGUGGGGAUGACGUCAGGUCAUCAUGGCCCUUACGGCCAGGGNUACACACGUGUUACAAUGGCGGGUACAGAGGGCUGCCAACUCGGGAGAGUGCGCCAAUCCUAAACCGNUUNGUUCGGGAUNGGAUUNUNCAAUUGGACUCNGGAANUNGGAAUNGUUUAAGNGANA